rnacentral:misc_RNA from 1 species
CUCCUCCCUCCCUGUCAGUCACAGUGGUGGCGGGAACAAAAGCUCACUCUUCCAGAAUCCCGCCCAAUCCUAAUCGCGCUCCUUUUUAAACCAACCCCACUCUCAAAACCUCCUUGUCUCUUUUCUCACGGAUCCCUAACUGUAACCCUAACCCUAAUUUGACACCUGAAAGAGAGCAAUAAGAUGUUGGAGCUUAGACUGGUUCAAGGAUCCCUUCUGAAGAAAGUGCUUGAGGCCAUCAAGGAUUUGGUCAAUGAUGCCAACUUCGAUUGCUCGUCGACGGGCUUCUCUCUCCAGGCCAUGGAUUCAAGCCACGUGGCCCUGGUGGCUCUCCUCCUCAGAUCAGAGGGUUUUGAGCACUACCGAUGUGACCGUAACAUUUCCAUGGGUAUGAAUCUCAAUAACAUGUCCAAGAUGUUGAAGUGCUCUGGAAAUGACGACAUCAUCACUAUCAAGGCUGACGAUGGCAGCGAUACCGUCACUUUUAUGUUUGAAAGCCCUAGUAUGUUGUUUUUCAAUUUUAUCUCUUCUUUCCUUUUUUUUGGAUUGAUUAGGGUUUAUGAGUAUUAGGGAUUUGCUGUUUUGAUUGGCUUUUUUGUUUGGUUAAUUGUUAUAUUUUCGACUAUCAUUUGUUUGUUUUGUGAUCUGUUGUUUUCUUGACGAACUGAGGGCUUUUGGUUCUGGAUAAUUAGCAUUUUGAUGUUUAAGAUUUAGAUUGCGUGGGAAGCAACAAUCUGCGUUUAUCUAUGAACAUACUGAAAAUUGAAAAUUAGGGCUUCUUUUUUUAGUUAAGAUUUUUUGGUUAAAAGAAGUUUGCUUUCUUGUCAUGUUGGAUUAUAGUUCUACAUAUUCUAAAUUUCUAAUUGAUUUGACUUGGCAUGGGUUUUUGCCAUUCAAGGAGUUUAUCCUUCUGUUGAUCCUGUGAAGCAAAAGAAAAAUUCAGUUAAAAUUAAAUGCUUGGGAUGCAAGAAGUGAGUUAGCAUUUUCAAUUAUGAACUCAAGAAUUUCAGUUAACUUCCCCAAGUUAUUACAUAUGAUAAUUCCAUCUGAGUUGUUGCUUUGUUCUGCAUUUGGUACACAUUAUUAUCUCUAAGGUCAAUCAAUAAUAAUUUUGACUCAUCUGCAGGCAUCUCUGUGUGUGCGUAAUUCCUGCACGAGACAAGAAAUUGAUAUUUUCAUUGUUUGUUUUCCCUUUUCUUAAUGCAUUGAAGCUCAAGACAAAAUUUCGGAUUUUGAGAUGAAACUGAUGGACAUUGAUAGUGAGCACCUGGGAAUUCCUGAGGCAGAAUAUCAUGCUAUUGUCAGGAUGCCGUCAGCUGAGUUUGCAAAAAUUUGUAAGGAUCUUGCCAGCAUUGGUGAUACUGUUGUGAUCUCUGUGACGAAGGAAGGAGUAAAGUUCUCUACAAGAGGUGAUAUUGGCACUGCAAAUAUUGUUGUCAGGCAGAAUACGACAGUAGAUAAGCCAGAAGAAGCAACAAUCAUAGAAAUGAACGAGCCAGUAUCAUUGACAUUUGCAUUGAGGUACAUGAACUCCUUCACCAAGGCGACCCCAUUGUCAAACACGGUUACAAUCAGCUUGUCUUCAGAGCUCCCCGUUGUGGUUGAGUACAAGAUUGCUGAGAUGGGUUAUAUCAGGUUCUACUUGGCUCCAAAGAUAGAAGAAGAUGAGGAUGAGACCAAGCCCCAAGUUUAAAAGGAUGGAAGAUAAGGAUGUGACUAAGAUAAGGAUGUGACUAAAUCCCAAGUUUAAAUGGAUGGAAGAUGAGGAUGAGAUGAAGCCCGAACUUUAAUUGUCACUUGCAUUACUAGUCUUGUCUUCUUAUUCCUUGCAUUCACUGCUAAAUUUUUGAACCUGUGCUUAGGAUGUUUGUUACUUUAGUACUUUCAUCAUUGGCUGUGUAGACAACUAAUCAUUCGUAGUCAGUAGAAUUCCUGAAGUUUUUCCAGUGAAGAUUUUUAAAUGUUUUGCGAGAAACUUUACCUAUUUUCCAUGUAUCACAAGCCCAUUCAUAGUUGUGGCUUAGUUCUGCUUUAAGUUCCUUCUACUUGUACCUUUUUUAAGUUACCAACAAGGACUAGGCAAAGGCUGGUGUUUCUGGUUUGCAUGACAUGUGGGAAUUUUUAUUGAACAAGCCAAAUGAGAGAUGAAUAGCCUGAUAGGCUGUUU